rnacentral:rRNA from 1 species
UGUGGGUGAGAACUGAUGAGGGACACACGCGUGUGUGGACUUGUGGUGAUCCUAAGCUGCCGAGAAAAGCCUCGACGUGAGGGCAUGACGCGCCCGUACCCUAAACCGACUCAGGUGGUCAGGUAGAGUAUACCGAGGCGUUCGAGUGAAUCGUGGUUAAGGAACUCGGCAAAAUUCCUCCGUAACUUCGGGAUAAGGAGGACCCCGUGACUUCCCCGCGCCGCGCGCGCUGGUGGGGUUGUGGGGUCGCAGAGAAUAGGGAGAAGCGACUGUUUAUCAAAAACACAGGUGCGUGCGAAGCCGUAAGGCGAUGUAUACGCACUGACGCCUGCCCGGUGCUGGAAGGUUAAGAGGAACCGUCAACACUCCUUGUGGGUGUGAAGCGGUGAAUUUAAGCCCCAGUAAACGGCGGUGGUAACUAUAACCAUCCUAAGGUAGCGAAAUUCCUUGUCGGGUAAGUUCCGACCUGCACGAAUGGCGUAACGACUUCUCCGCUGUCUCAACCGCGAACUCGGUGAAAUUGCAGUACGAGUAAAGAUGCUCGUUUCGCGCAGAAGGACGGAAAGACCCCGGGACCUUUACUAUAGCUUGGUAUUGGUGUUCGCUUGGACUUGUGUAGGAUAGGUGGGAGACUGUGAAGCUGCCGCGCCAGCGGUGGUGGAGUCGUCGUUGAAAUACCAUUCUGGUUCAAGCGGUCACCUCAACCUUGGCCCGUAAUCCGGGUUGGGGACAGUGCCUGGUGGGUAGUUUAACUGGGGCGGUUGCCUCCUAAAAUGUAACGGAGGCGCUCAAAGGUUCCCUCAGCCUGGUUGGUAAUCAGGUGGCGAGUGCAAGUGUACAAAGGAGCUUGACUGUGAGACCGACGGGUCGAGCAGGUGCGAAAGCAGGAACUAGUGAUCCGGCCAUGGCACGUGGGUGCGUGGUCGCUCAACGGAUAAAAGGUACCCCGGGGAUAACAGGCUGAUCUUGCCCAAGAGUCCAUAUCGACGGCAUGGUUUGGCACCUCGAUGUCGGCUCGUCGCAUCCUGGGGCUGGAGUUGGUCCCAAGGGUUGGGCUGUUCGCCCAUUAAAGCGGUACGCGAGCUGGGUUCAGAACGUCGUGAGACAGUUCGGUCCCUAUCCUCUGUGCGCGCAGGAAAUUUGAGAAGGGCCGUCCCUAGUACGAGAGGACCGGGAUGGACGAACCUCUGGUGUGCCAGUUGUACCGCCAGGUGCAUGGCUGGUUGGCUACGUUCGGAAGGGAUAACCGCUGAAAGCAUCUAAGCGGGAAGCCUGCUUCAAGAUGAGAUUUCCACGCCCCCCAGUGGGGUGAGAGGCCCCCGCCAGACUAGCGGGUUGAUAGGCCAGAGGUGGAAGCACAGCAAUGUGCUCGUGAGCCGACUGGUACUAAUGGGCCAACACC